rnacentral:rRNA from 1 species
CCUANGGGGGGCAGCAGUCAGGAAUAUUGGGCAAUGGGCGAAAGCCUGACCCAGCAACGCCGCGUGAAGGAUGAAGGCCUUCGGGUCGUAAACUUCUGUCGAGAGGGAAGAAUGCGUACGGGUAAAUAAUCCGUGCGUUUGACGGUACCUCCAAAGGAAGCACCGGCUAACUCCGUGCCAGCAGCCGCGGUAAUACGGAGGGUGCAAGCGUUGUUCGGAUUCAUUGGGCGUAAAGCGAGUGUAGGCGGUUUGACAAGUCGGAUGUGAAAUCCCGGGGCCCAACCCCGGAACUGCAUCCGAUACUGUCUGGCUAGAGUCCCGGAGAGGGUGGCGGAAUUCCCGGUGUAGGGGUGAAAUCCGUAGAUAUCGGGAGGAACACCAGUGGCGAAGGCGGCCACCUGGACGGUGACUGACGCUGAGACUCGAAAGCGUGGGUAGCAAACAGGAUUAGAUACCCCGNUANUC